rnacentral:rRNA from 1 species
UAAUAAGAAAUUUAAGAGCAUAUGGUGGAUGCCUUGGUUCUAAGAGGCGAUGAAAGACGUAGCAUGGCUGCGAUAAGCUUCGGGGAGGUGCCUAGCAACCUUUGAUCCGGAGAUCUCUGAAUGGGGAAACCCCGCGACCGUAAUAGGUCGUGACCAACAUUUAAAGGUUGGAGUAGACCCAGGGAAGUGACACAUCUCAGUACCUGGAGGAAAAUAAAAAAAGCCGCCGAAUGGCGGAACAUUUCCUGAAUAGCGGCGAGCGAAACGGAAAUAGCCCAAACCUACUAUUUAUAGUAGGGGUUGUAAGGCAGAGACGUCGUAUUUAUACGAGAGGAGUUACAAAAUGUAAUGUUAGUUGAAUAUGCUGGAAAGCAUAGCCCUAGACGGUGAUAGCCCGGUAAACGAAAACGUUACGUCUUCUUUGUCUUUGUUCUUGAGUACUUCGAGACACGAAUAGCUCGGGGGAAUCUACCAGAACUAACUGGUAAGGCUAAAUACUCUUAGAAACCGAUAGUGAACUAGUACCGUGAGGGAAAGGUGAAAAGAACCCCGGUGAGGGGAGUGAAAUAGAACUGAAACCAUAUGCUUACAAGGAGUCGGAGCGGGCGCAUCACAUUGGGUGUGAUACGCGAGUCCAUAAAGUCCCAAAGUCAAAAGUCGAAAGUGGGUGCAUUUGCAUUUACUUUGGACUUUCAGACUUUUAACUUUUGACUUAAGCAUCGCGCGUAGCGUGAUGCGCCUGUGACGGCGUGCCUAUUGAAGAAUGAGCCAACGAGUUAAUGUAUACAGCGUGGCUAAGUCCUUGUCGGAUGGAGCCUUAGAGAAAUCGAGUGUGAAUAGCGCGUUUGUUGUAUGCAUUAGACCCGAAGCCAGAUGAGCUUACCAUGAGCAGGGUGAAGUUUGUAGAAAUACAGAUGGAGGCCCGAACCGGUUGGCCGUGCGACACCAUCGGAUGACUUGUGGUAAGGAGUGAAAAGCUAAUCGAAUCUGGUAAUAGCUGGUUCUCUCCGAAAUAUGUUUUGGCAUAGCGUCUGGCGUACCCUCUGGGGGUAGAGCACUGGAAGGGUUAAACAGGGAGCAAUCUCGUUAACCCUAUCAAACUCCGAAUACCAGAGAUUAAAUACCAGGCAGUAAGACUACGGGGGCGAAGCUCCGUCGGUCAAAAGGGAAACAGCCCUGAUCUCAAGUUAAGGUCCCAAAAUUUACGCUAAGUGCACUUAAGGAGGUGGAGUUUCUCAGACAGUGAGGAUGUUGGCUUAGAAGCAGCCAUCAUUUAAAGAAAGCGUAACAGCUCACUCACUAAGAGACUCUGCACCGAAGAUAAUCGGGGCUAAGCGUAGUACCGAAACUGAGGGUUCUCUCGUCUUUAGAGAUGGGGGAGCGGUAGGAGAGCGUUCAUGUCUGCGCUGAAGGAGAAGUGUGAGCAACUCUGGAGCGGCAUGAAGUGAGAAUGUUGGCACAAGUAACCACAAUGCGGGUGAGAUCCCCGCACGCCGUAAGAGCAAGGUUUCCUUUGCGAUGUUGAUCAGCGAAGGGUUAGUCGGGCCUAAGGUGAUAGCGAAAGCUGCAGCCGAUGGACACAGGGUUAAUAUUCCCUGACUUUUUAUUUGUGCGAUGGAGUGACGAAGGUUAGUAUGCGGUGCGCAUUAUUGGAUUUGCGUUUGUGUCAUCAGUGUGAUUCUUAGGUAAAUCCGGGAGUCUGGUUUUAAUACCGACCGCAAGUGAAGCAGAAAUGUCUGGGUUCGCCCAGUGCAGAUACCGCAAAGCAACUUUCCGAGAAAAGCUUCUAAGCAUAACAAAUAAAAAACCGUACCUAAAACCGACACAGGUGCUCGAGUCGAGUAGACUAAGGCGAACGAGUGAUUGCUUCUCAAGGAACUCGGCAAAAAAGCAGCCGUAACUUCGGGAUAAGGCUUGCCUCCACCACUUUGCGUUUAAAGUCGCAUCGAUAAAAUUACUUCAUUUGCAUCGUUGAGAAGAAUUUUUUCCUCCACGCAAUGUACACUUGUACAUCUUGGUCUUAAAAAA